ensembl:lncRNA
UGUGUUUCUUGGUGCAAGCAAAUCUCUUCUUAUUAUUGGUUUCAUUUAGUAGUGGUUUCUUUGCAGUAAUUUGACAAUGAAGGCCUUAAUCAUGCAGUCUCCUCAGAACAGUUGAUGUUGAGACGUGUCUGUUACCUGAACUCUGUGAAGCAUUUAUUUGGGCUGCAAUCGCUGAGGCUGUUAACUAUAAUACUGAUCCUCUGCAGCAGAGGUAACUGGGUUUUCCUUUCCUGUGGCAGUCCUCAUGAGAGACAGUUAACUGUAAUGAACUGAUCCUCUGCAGCAGAGGUAACUGGGUUUUCCUUUCCUGUGGCAGUCCUCAUGAGAGACAGUUAACUGUAAUGAACUGAUCCUCUGCAGCAGAGGUGACUCUGGGUUUUCCUUUCCUGUGGCUGUCCUCAUGAGAGACAGUUUCAUCAUAGUGCUUGAUGUUUGUUGCGACUGCACUUGAUGAAACUUUCAAAGUUCUUGAAAUGUUCCACAUUGACUGACCUUCAUGGCUUAAAGUAAUGAUGGACUGACGUUUCUCUUUGCUUAUUUGAGCUGUUCUUGCCAUAAUGUGGACUUGGUCUUUUACC